AAAUUGAAGAGUUUGAUCAUGGCUCAGAUUGAACGCUGGCGGCAGGCUUAACACAUGCAAGUCGAACGGUAACAGGAAGCAGCUUGCUGCUUUGCUGACGAGUGGCGGACGGGUGAGUAAUGUCUGGGAAACUGCCUGAUGGAGGGGGAUAACUACUGGAAACGGUGGCUAAUACCGCAUAACGUCGCAAGACCAAAGAGGGGGACCUUCGGGCCUCUUGCCAUCAGAUGUGCCCAGAUGGGAUUAGCU
rnacentral:rRNA from 1 species